rnacentral:rRNA from 1 species
CACGUAGGGGGCGAGCGUUGUCCGGAUUUAUUGGGCGUAAAGAGCUCGUAGGCGGCUCAGUAAGUCAGGUGUGAAAACUCCAGGCUCAACCUGGAGACGCCACUUGAUACUGCUGUGGCUAGAGUCCGGUAGGGGAGCAUGGAAUUCCUGGUGUAGCGGUGAAAUGCGUAGAGAUCAUGAGGAAGACCAGUGGCGAAGGCGGGUCUCUGGACAGUUCCUGACACUGAGGAGCGAAAGCCAGGGGAGCAAACGGG